rnacentral:lncRNA from 1 species
CCAAUCAGAAUCAGCAAAAGAUCUUUCUUCGUCUUGAGGUGAGGAUGAUGAACUUGCCUGACAACCUACAAGUACAAAGUUUUCUCAUCUUUUGUAGCUUACAUGAACCAAAAACAGACGGCAGUUAUCACAGUAGCCUAUGCACAAUUUUUCAACUAAUGAAAAACUCCUUUUUCCAAAUGAUUGAAAUUACCCCUAAUCCCCUGAGUUAUUGUUUAAAAUUAGUUAAGAAUAAUAACUUUAAUAGACUCCGCUGUUGAUCGUGAGGUAAUUUGAGCAUCACAAUUUUAAUAGACUGUUUCACACAAGAAAGAGGAGACUUACAAGUCAGUGACAAAGGAGUGCCAACCUUUUUGAGCUGAUGAAACUGACUAGUAACAAAUAACCUUCUUCUUGUAGAAUAAGAAAUUCUUGAUCCUAACAAAGGGAAGAGUUUCUCUGACAAGGGCUUUGAAGUGACAAAGCAAGCUUCCAUAUUGGUUUCAGAAUUCAAAAGGAUUCUGCUAUAAAGAGUGAAACAGUGUUAUAGUGGAUAUAGGAUUGAAGUACAAAGAGAAUUCAUUGUGUUUUAUAUGGAGAAUGUGGCUAAAUGUAGACCACAGCAAGUUUUAGAGCCAAUCCAGUACAAGUAGGAUGCUUUUUCACUGUUGGCAGAGUGACUUUCCCAAAAGUAUGGGCUAAUAGAUAUGGCUUUACACGUAAGAAGACAGGACAACAGUUAUAGGAUUACACGUGUACUUAUGCAGGAUAUUGUUUGGUUGGUAUGAGUUAGAAGUGGCUAAGGUUUAAUCUGCUGAAAUCUGGUGCACUUUUAUGAAUGAUGUGUUCUGGCUCUAGCCACAGAGGUCAGUAUGACUACCUCUUUCUUUUCCCACUUUCUUUCUUCUUCUUUCCCGGGUUGAGUCCUAGCUACCAUUUUGACAUAGAUUUAAUUGAAAUUUGAAAAAAAAAAAAUUAAAAUUGUGUUUGGACAUAUAUUUUAUUUGAAGAAAGUUGAAGUAUGGUGAGUGGAAGAAACAUUUUCACCCAAAAACUGUUUUGAAAACUUGAAACUUUUUGAAUUUUUUUUCUUCCCAAAACAUGAUCAUAUUUCUUAAACAAUAAUGUUUUCAAUUUUAUUUUAUUUUGAAAAAAUGAAGCGAAAAUCUAUGACUAAGUGGGAGCAUAGACUCUUGUGGUUAGGGUAGUUCAAAGAUAUCGAAAAUUCGCACUAGCUAGAAAUCAAAUCAAAUCAAGUUGAUAAUUAAUUUUCUUAAUUUGAUACUAUGUCCAUGGAUGGGGCGGCUUUUUAAAUUGUAUUCCGCCAUUGAAGAAAGCAGUAAAGCUGCUUUAACAGUCUCCCACUAAAAAGCAAUACCAAAUCUUAUUAUUUGGUUCAAGUGUCAAUACACAUUAAAGCUCAAAAGCUUCUCCAAUACAGUCACUACGACCUAAAAGAUCAAUUAGACAAGCAUACUGCUCUAAUUUAUAAAUAACCCCAUAAUCUCUCUCCAUAGAAUAAAAAUAAGCUAUCCUCCUCCACCAAACCAAUAUUACUCUACUACCAAAAGUUUGUGGUAGAAUAGUUGAGAUUCCUUCACACCAAUGAAAACUUUUUGGUAAGGAGCGUUUUACUCUUUUAGUGGCUUGCUCGAUGCUAAUUUUAAUUCCUCGGGUCUGAUAGACUCCAGAUACAGAAUGGUCAUACCCCCCUUCCCCUCCCAACCCCAUAUACACACGCAAGUGUACGAGUCUACAUGCACAAGAUACCUACCAAUGUCAUGUCAUCAGGCACACGUCCUUCUAGUUUCAUGAGAGAAAUGGCGAAAAGCCGUGCCUUCUUUCCAUAUCCAUGUAAAGCUAACCAUGUAUCAACAUUCCAAGAAACUAAUAUAUCUCCUCAGACCUAAAUCAAUCUCCCACGCUUAGCAUACUCAUCAAUGAAGGCAAUGCAAACUAGAGUAUUAACCUUGCACAUACACUCACAAUGGGAUCAUACACUCAGCACUUCUUUUAUCAAACUAAGCAUACAAGAUCAGUACAGGCAGCUAGAAUACUAACAGAAGCGACAACAUCAAGGCUCGAACCAUCUUCCUACAUUCGAAUGCAUUAACUCAGAUGCCUCUACAAUCCUUUUUUCAGUAUAUGCAGAUAUCAUCUUUGUCCACGAGACCAGAUUUUCAGAAGGCAACCUAUCAAACAACAGCCAAGCCAUCUUGCACUGUGAAUUUUGAUGUUACAGAGUCAGCGUAUUGAACAUGAUAACUUUCUAUUCAUCUUAUUUUCCUCAUAUUUGUUCUCAUUAUAGAAAGUCGGAAUGGGUUGAGUGCAGAAGCAAAUCAAGGAUGUUAAGUCAGUGAGUUCGGAGUGCAACUGCAUCCACUAUUACUUCACAAGUUAGUAGCAACAGGUGCGUAUUUAAUAUUGAAUGUGUGUAUUUUUCAAAACAAUUGAGCUAUAUACAUAGAGCUCAAGAUACACUAACAUCUACUCCCCCAUGCAAUAUGCGGGUAAUUAGUUGUAUUAAUCUGAACACGAAUCUUCCUCAACUCUCACAAGCGUGGGUAUUUGGCCACGAUCAACAAAAUCUAUCUUGUUCAAUCUAACACAACCAAGCACUUUCUCUGGCAACUCCUCUGGCUUCUGUGCCUGUGGAAUGUAGUGAAUACCCAAUGAGCAUACACCAUUAUAAUGCCAAAAGUAAGCCAACCAUUCUCAAAACUAAUCAGCAUCAUUUUUUGUUUCUGAAAAAUAAGGGGAAAAUAAGAAACCUGAAUUGUUAGACCAAAAUCAACUAUUCCAUGUUGUAAACGUUCUCUAAAAGCAUCAAGCCCCUUUCUAGCUAUGUAGCUGAAGCGAUGAAUAUCAAGAUCAACUUCAAAGUAAUUUGGGCCCUGCAAUAAGAAGACACCAUGCUCUUUCAGAAUACUGUGGCACUUGAAAACAGCAAAGAUGUUGCUAAACUGACUAUAAACUAAAGUCAUAGUACUGAAGUAAAAAUCAUUUAGAGUGUCACCUGAUAAAAGUUGUGUUGAGGACGGGAAAGCACAGGCUUUUCAUUGUAAGCAUUCAAAAGCUUUCUUUCUGUUGCACUUGAAACAAGCUCAUCUGGAUUAACCAACCCAACCGUAAUCUUCAAUCUCUCUCUGAAAGGAACAAUUGACUCCUUUGCAAAUCCUUUUACCUUUUCCAUGUCGUCUUCAAUGAAUCUCUACAACAAAAAUCAGUAGCACAUUUAAAUGCAAAACUAAUAGGGAACCAGGGCAUAAUGAAAGUUCUCCCAUUCCCCUAGUACCACUAUCAGGGCUAGAUCUGUAACCAAGCAUGACAAAUAACUGCCAAAAUUGGUUAAAACGUGAGAAAGUUUAUUUUGGUUUCGCUUGUUUACUAACUUAGGAAGAUUGCUACAUAUCAACCAGACAUUUGAGCAGUUUCUUCCACUCGCAUGAACACCUUUCCCAAACUUCGAGUAAAGUAGAAGGGGAAAAGGAAAACCGAAAGGAGAAGAAAAGGUGUUGUUUUUGCUUCAGAAAGAUGACAUAAAUUACCUUGAUGAAGUCUUGAAACUGGGGAGAGAUGUCCUCCUCAAAACUUUCAGAAAGUUUGAAAUAUAUAACAAGGCUCAAGCCUUCCCCAUCAGCAUCACCAAGGAACAUUGGAGCAGGAUAAGUAGGCAACUGACAAAGAAAAACAACUUUAUUACUAAUUAGAACAGGAUGUUUUAUCUAAUAAAAACUCCUUUGCUUAGUUGGGAGAGACUGCUGUAAUACCUGAAUAUUAACAAUUAGUAAUGGAGGUAUUUUUCCAUCUCCUUUUAUAGAAGGAAGCUCAAUGUGCUGUGCGAUGUGAUUGAUCUUUCUAGGGCAAACAAAUAAGUCGACCCCAAUUGGAAUAUAAGGACACACAUUAGGAGCAGGGCUUUUCCUCUUAUCUCUGCAGAUUAAAUGAAAAAUGUAAAGAAACAUGUGUAAAAUCCACUGCAAAAUCUCAACAACAGUAAUUAAUUGACAAAGAGAAAGGUAAGUUAAGAGCGCACUUGAAAUAACUAUCACCACGGAGCUUAAAGUUUGAGGGCUCAAUCUUUGACCAACUUCCUGCAAUGAGCUUUUCUUCUGUGCAACAAGGAAUUACGUGCCCAGCCCUGGGGCGGACAAGAUACUUUCUUGAAGAACCUACAAGAAUACCAUUAUAUUUAAAAUACUGUUAACUAGCUUUCUCAAUUAGCUUUUCGACUUCUCUUUUUACACACUCCAGAACAAGAAAUCUAACAUGAAGGUAAAUGCAUCAUGAUCUCGAGAAGGUUUAGCUGGUGAUUAGAUUUUAAAAAAAUAAGGGGAAUAAAAAUGUCAUGGAACAAAUUCGUAUAAUGGAAUUCUCAAAUUGGAGUCAGUUUAUGCUGAAAGAAUAAUAUACACAAAUGGAAAGUGGAGGAAGUACUCACAAAAUUCGUUCUUUUCUUCUCCAUCAACAGACGUCCUCUUCAGAGAAAGCCUUAUAAUAGUUGAUUUCUUUACUUGAGAAUGUGGGCCUGAAUUUGAUGCAUUAAUUGUUUUGUCAUUGAAACUCAAUGAACUAACCAGCUUCGGUAAGACAGACUUGAACACCUUCUCCUGAGUUUUCUCCUGCAGUUUAUCCUUUUUUACACCUUUAAAACUUGCAUAGGCACGAUCCAAAUUCUUCUUCUUUUUGGUUCCAAGGUCUUCACCCUUCCCUAGCGAUGGAAUAUAGUCUUGAGCACUUACAACUGCAAGUCCUUUUGGAUCCUGAACUACAUCUUUGCUCAAAACCUUCUCUGUUUUACUGCCAUCUAUCUUGAGAUAUUUCUCAUGGUAUUCUUUGUACUUGAGUUUGCUAUCCAUAAAGCAUGAUGAAGUUUCAUACUGAAGUACUUGUCCACUUGAAAUGUUGGGGAAAAUAUCUACAAGAAGCGAGAAGGAAUAGAACGAAUAAGUAAUAACUUUGUCACUUGGUUCAUUAAACUUAAGAAAGAAACUUUCUAACAUAUAGUUUGCCAAUUAAACAUUAAUGUCGUAACAUUGUCAUAGAUUCCUGUCAGCUUCUGAUCUUCUGGAAAUGAUAUAGAUUCCAUCUGCUAAAGAGCAUAUGAUCCGUUAUGAACCAAUAGUGUCUCACUCCAAAAUAGUUCUGAUGGAAUUUCCGCAAAAGAUAAGAGAAGCGCCCCCCCCCCCCCCCCAAAAAAAAAAAAGAAACAAAAAGAAAGGGAUAAGAACUGCCAAAAACAUAGGGUAAUGAAUAAGGUGGUAUUCUUCUUUUUCUUUUCCUAAGAAUGAUGGCCUUCUUAAUAGAAAGAAGACGUCAUCAAUUAUAAGUAUCACUUAAAACACAUUCAAGAACAGCAAAACAAAGUACGAAAUUGACAUCAAAACACAACUAAAUAUGCCCAAAAUCAAUGAUAUUACCCCCAUGAACACUACUGAAGUCAUCAUCUGAGUCGGACUCCAAAAUGCUGUGCGUGUCAAACCAUGCUUCUUCUUGACAAAGAACUGUAAGCAAGUAAAUAUCUCAUCAUUUUCAAGCUUAAGGUUCAAAACUUUUUCAUUAUCAAAAGCUUAAUCACACAAACUCCAGUUGCUAAUACGAUGCUUUCAAAAGAGAAUAUCCCUUUUCCUCAUUGCGAACGAAGAAAGGCAUCAGAAUUAACACAACCACUAAUCUAUCAAAGGAAAAAAAGGAUGUCAAAAUGCAAACUUUUAGCAGGAUAUACUCUUUUGAUACCAGUGUCCUAACCGAAUGAGACAUAUGCUGCCCAACAACAAAAUAGCAACUCCAGACGUCGAAAAGUACUUAUUUUGUCAGAUCAAAUCGGAAUAUCAUUUUAAUGGAGUAUACUAAGGUGACAUUUCACUUGUCUAGGAUAUUUCCUUCAAAAGAAGAUCAAGUACUUGUCACUUUAAGGAUUUAAUCCGGUAGGUUUCUCAUCACAUAUGAUAUCAAGAGAUAAUAAGGUUCAAAAUGAAAAAAAGAGAGUAUACCAUUAGCAUCUAUUUGACUAUGUUGCCACUGCAACUGAGUAAGAUGGAAUGUGGAACUAGAGACCUCAGAUCUUCCGGAGGUUGUAGUUGUACGAACAAACUCACUAACAGCAAUAUCUGUCACCCGUGCAUCGCUAUUUCUUUUCCUGGUUCCUACUAGACCUGAGUUUGAAUUCUUUCUAUGACGACGAUGGUAUUUCUUCCUUACCCUGAUUGUGCUUGCUGGAGUUGAUACACAACCACCCAUUAUUAUGACUCAGCUCACAAAUCUCACUGCGAAUUGCUGCUGUACCAUGCGAAGAUGCAAAUUCCAAGUUGAACACAAGAAAUUAAGUAAGUAUACCUGGCACGAGAAUAAGAGGAACUGCUACCGUUAAUCUCAAUAAAAGCUCACAAAUUUGUUCAUCACACGUUAACAGGACUUGCAAAGAAGUAUUCAGAAAAGCCACAUAUAUAAAUUGAUAUUGAUUUGGUGGCUCUCAAAUCUUAUAUACUAGAAUGAAACUCAAAAAGAUGGGACAAAAGCAGCUUUUAACAGGGCUUAAAAGCAGUGAACCUUAUAAGACACAUUUAAGAAUAAGGAAUCACCAAGAAUAUUACUGACAUAAAAAGCAAACAAGAUGCACAAAGAUGGCUAAGUACAAAGAAACUAUGAAACAAACUUUAAUAAUUUCAUGUGAUUGCAGAUUUAAGCAAAAAAGAUAAAAUUGGAGACAUAACUGAAAAGGUGAACAUAAAGUAGCAGGAUCAAAUAUGUGAUAACUAAUAAGCUGCUUUUCCAUUUCAUUUUUUUAUUUUUUUUCUUGUCCUGACUUUAUGAAUCGUUGAUGAUGAAAAAGGAUGGAAUGAACAUGACCUUGUUUUCACUUUCAGAGGCUUAAUUAGACAAAAGAUGUCAGAUUAUUAUAGACAUAAGAAAAAGGGAAAAAGGAGAACGAAGAAAAUGGGUCCACAUUAAGAUCAUAUAAGAAGCAAACAAACAAAAGAAUAACAACAAAAUUGUUGUUAGUAUAACAGAAAAAAGGAAUAAAAAUAACAAUGCAAAUGCGUAGGAAAGCAGAAAGGGCCAAAAUAUGAAGAAUGAAAACAACUAAAAUAAUAUUGGAAACAAAGAUCAGAACUAAAAACUCACAAUACAACAAGCUACUAAUCAACAGGUCAGGAAAUACCUAGGAAGGAGGAUGAAAACGUUAUUAAACAAAAUUAGAGCCUCGUUCUUUGAGCAAUAAAAUAAACAAUGAACCACGAAUUUUCAAAAGAACCCAUCAUUAAACCCUUCAAAAAUUAUGACAAAAAAACAAUUACUAUAUCUCAAUCUCAAACUAAUUAUCUUUAUCUGGACCUAUCUAAGCAUGGACGGAGCUAAGGGGCGGAAGGGGCCGGGAAAAUUACACUAUAUAGAUAAACAACUUUUUUUCUUAUAUACUAUUAAAUGUUAAAUCUCUGGCUUCUAUUUUCCUUUUUUUGUUUUUUGAAUCUCUUGGUGAAAAUUUCACCUCCACCAUUGUGUUUAAGUACAGAAAAAAAGAUUACAAAAGAAUGCAGAAAAAUGUAAAAGAAGCAAGAAAAUAGCAAGGCUAAGUAUGAUCCGAAAAAUGGAUACCUUACAUAAAAAUGCUGACCUGCUCACCACCAGCAACAUUUAAGUAUUACGUGAAAAAAUUAUAAUGUGGGGUACCUUUUUUUUUUUUUUUGUAUAGAAUGAAGAAAAGAUGAUUAACAACGAAGAGAUGUGAAUGUGGGUCUCCCUCUCCUGUAAAUGAAGAAGAAGAAAAGCAAAAUUCAAGAACCAGAGGGAGAGAGAGGGAGAAAGAGCUAGCGUUUGGGUCCGACGUGUCGGAUCCAAGCUCUUUUCCUAAAACUUCUCCUUCUUCAAGCAGCUGUUCUAUUUUUCUGGGUGUAUUUUUCCUGUUUAUAUUUGUAU